rnacentral:rRNA from 1 species
UACGUAGGUGGCAAGCGUUUGUCCGGAUUUACUGGGCGUAAAGAGCGCGCAGGCGGUCGUUCAAGUCGCGUGUGAAAGCCCCCGGCUCAACUGGGGAGGGUCACGCGAUACUGAUCGACUCGAAGGCAGGAGAGGGUAGUGGAAUUCCCGGUGUAGUGGUGAAAUGCGUAGAUAUCGGGAGGAACACCAGUGGCGAAGGCGACUACCUGGCCUGUUCUUGACGCUGAGGCGCGAAAGCGUGGGGAGCAAACAGG